rnacentral:rRNA from 1 species
AUUCGUAGAGAUCGGGAGGAAUACCAGUGGCGAAGGCGAUUUGCUGGGCCAUCACUGACGCUGAGGUACGAAAGCGUGGGUAGCAAAUAGGAUUAGAUACCCUAGUAGUCCACGCUGUAAACGAUGAGCACUAGGUGUAGCGGGUACUCA